AUGGAGGUUGAUAGCCAAACAACCGUAAGUCGUCGAUCCAGACAUAGAAGUUUUGUAUGGGAUUAUUUUACAAAGAUCAAAGUUAAUGGAAAAGAUAAGGCUCGAUGUAAUUAUUGCUCAAAGCAGCUUAAUGGAUCCUCAAAUGAUGGGACGACACAUUUAAAAGGACAUUUGGGAUCUUGUCUCAAAAAUAAGCUUUUGAAAUCAUCUGAUAAGGGACAGACAUUUCUUACGCCUAGAACCAUGCAAGAUCAUCAACUUUGA
rnacentral:lncRNA from 1 species